GGUAGCGUGGCUGAGCCGUCUAAGGCGCUGGAUUAAGGCUCCAGUCUCUUCGGGGGCGUGGGUUCGAAUCCCACCGCUGCCA
rnacentral:tRNA from 2 species